UGCAAGUCGUACGAGAGUUUUUAACUCUAGUGGCGGACGGGUGAGUAACACGUGAGAAUUUACCUUUAGGAGGGGGAUAACAAUCGGAAACGAAUGCUAAUACCCCAUAUGCUUUCGAGUGAAAUGGAUUUAUAUUUAUCCGCCUAGAGAGAAGCUCGCGGCUGAUUAGCUUGUUGGUAAGGUAAGAGCUUACCAAGGCGACGAUCAGUAUCUGGUUUGAGAGGACGAUCAGACACACUGGAACUGAGACACGGUCCAGACUCCUACGGGAGGCAGCAGUGGGGAAUUUUCCGCAAUGGGCGAAAGCCUGACGGAGCAAUACCGCGUGAGGGAAGACUGCCUAUGGGUUGUAAACCUCUUUUUUCAGGGAGGAAUAAAAUGACGUGUACCUGAAGAAUAAGCAUCGGCUAACUCCGUGCCAGCAGCCGCGGUAAGACGGAGGAUGCAAGUGUUAUCCGGAAUCACUGGGCGUAAAGCGUCUGUAGGUGGUUUGAUAAGUCAACUGUUAAAUCUUGAGGCUCAACUUCAAAAUCGCAGUCGAAACUAUUAGACUAGAGUAUAGUAGAGGUAAAGGGAAUUUCCAGUGGAGCGGUGAAAUGCGUAGAUAUUGGAAAGAACACCGAUGGCGAAAGCACUUUACUGGGCUAUUACUAACACUCAGAGACGAAAGCUAGGGUAGCAAAUGGGAUUAGAUACCCCAGUAGUCCUAGCCGUAAACUAUGGAUACUAGAUGUUGAACAGAUCGACCUGUGCAGUAUCAAAGCUAACGCGUUAAGUAUCCCGCCUGGGAAGUAUGCACGCAAGUGUGAAACUCAAAGGAAUUGACGGGGGCCCGCACAAGCGGUGGAGCAUGUGGUUUAAUUCGAUGCAACGCGAAGAACCUUACCAGGGUUUGACAUGAUACGAAUUUCUUUGAAAGAA
rnacentral:rRNA from 1 species